GGCGGGAUAGCGCAGCGGCAGCGCGCCUGGCUCAUAACCAGGAGGUCGCAGGUUCAAAUCCUGCUCCCGCAACCA
rnacentral:tRNA from 1 species